rnacentral:rRNA from 1 species
CCUUAGAGUUUGAUCCUGCGCUCAGGAUGAACGCUAGCUACAGGCUUAACACAUGCAAGUCGAGGGGAAACGAUGUCGAAAGCUUGCUUUUGAUGGGCGGCGACCGGCGCACGGGUGAGUAACGCGUAUCCAACCUGUCCACCACUUGGGGAUAACCUUGCGAAAGUAAGAUUAAUGCCCGAUGUUAUUAGGAUAUCACAUGAUGUUUUAAUUAAAGAUUUAUCGGUGAUGGAUGGGGAUGCGUCUGAUUAGCUUGUUGGCGGGGUAACGGCCCACCAAGGCGACGAUCAGUAGGGGUUCUGAGAGGAAGGUCCCCCACAUUGGAACUGAGACACGGUCCAAACUCCUACGGGAGGCAGCAGUGAGGAAUAUUGGUCAAUGGACGAGAGUCUGAACCAGCCAAGUAGCGUGCAGGAUGACGGCCCUAUGGGUUGUAAACUGCUUUUAUAAGGGAAUAAAGUGAGUCUCGUGAGACUUUUUGCAUGUACCUUAUGAAUAAGGACCGGCUAAUUCCGUGCCAGCAGCCGCGGUAAUACGGAAGGUCCGGGCGUUAUCCGGAUUUAUUGGGUUUAAAGGGAGCGUAGGCCGGAGAUUAAGCGUGUUGUGAAAUGUAGACGCUCAACGUCUGCACUGCAGCGCGAACUGGUUUCCUUGAGUACGCACAAAGUGGGCGGAAUUCGUGGUGUAGCGGUGAAAUGCUUAGAUAUCACGAAGAACUCCGAUUGCGAAGGCAGCUCACUGGAGCGCAACUGACGCUGAAGCUCGAAAGUGCGGGUAUCGAACAGGAUUAGAUACCCUGGUAGUCCGCACGGUAAACGAUGGAUGCCCGCUGUUGGUCUGAAUAGGUCAGCGGCCAAGCGAAAGCAUUAAGCAUCCCACCUGGGGAGUACGCCGGCAACGGUGAAACUCAAAGGACAUUGACGGAAGGGCGAA